rnacentral:tRNA from 1 species
GCAUUGGUGGUCCAGUGGUAGAAUUCUCACUUUCCACAUGGGGGACCAGGGUUUGAUUCCCAAUCAGUGCA